rnacentral:rRNA from 1 species
AUUGAACGCUGGCGGCAUGCCUUACACAUGCAAGUCGAACGGCAGCACGGGUGCUUGCCCCUGGUGGCGAGUGGCGAACGGGUGAGUAAUACAUCGGAACAUGUCCUGUAGUGGGGGAUAGCCCGGCGAAAGCCGGAUUAAUACCGCAUACGAUCUACGGAUGAAAGCGGGGGACCUUCGGGCCUCGCGCUAUCGGGUUGGCCGAUGGCGGAUUAGCUAGUUGGUGGGGUAAAGGCCUACCAAGGCGACGACCAGUAGCUGGUCUGAGAGGACGACCAGCCACACUGGGACUGAGACACGGCCCAGACUCCUACGGGAGGCAGCAGUGGGGAAUUUUGGACAAUGGGCGAAAGCCUGAUCCAGCAAUGCCGCGUGUGUGAAGAAGGCCUUCGGGUUGUAAAGCACUUUUGUCCGGAAAGAAAUCCUUGGCCCUAAUACGGUCGGGGGAUGACGGUACCGGAAGAAUAAGCACCGGCUAACUACGUG